rnacentral:rRNA from 1 species
UACGUAGGGGGCAAGCGUUGUCCGGAUUUAUUGGGCGUAAGGAGCGUGUAGGCGGUUCGGUAGGUCCGUUGUGAAAACUCGAGGCUCAACCUCGAGACGCCGAUGGAAACCAUCUGACUAGAGUCCGGAAGAGGAGAGUGGAAUUCCUGGUGUAGCGGUGAAAUGCGCAGAUAUCAGGAAGAACACCCGUGGCUAAGGCGGCUCUCUAGUACGUGACUGACGCUGAGACGCGAAAGCGUGGGGAGCGAACAGG